UACGAAGGGGGCUAGCGUUGCUCGGAUUUACUGGGCGUAAAGGGCGCGUAGGCGGACAGUUAAGUUGGGGGGUGAAAGCCCGGGGCUCAACCUCGGAAUUGCCUUCAAUACUGGCUGUCUUGAGUGUGAGAGAGGUGUGUGGAACUCCGAGUGUAGAGGUGAAAUCGUAGAUAUUCGGAAGAACACCAGUGGCGAAGGCGACACACUGGCUCACUACUGACGCUGAGGCGCGAAAGCGUGGGGAGCAAACAGG
rnacentral:rRNA from 1 species